rnacentral:rRNA from 1 species
GAUGAACGCUGGCGGCGUGCCUAAUACAUGCAAGUCGAGCGAACAGACGAGUAGCUUGCUCCUGUGACGUUAGGGGCGGACGAGUGAGUAACACGUGGAUAACCUACCUAUAAGACUGGGAUAACUUCGGGAAACCGGAGCUAAUACCGGGUAAUAUAUUGAACCGCAUGGUUCAAUGGUGAAGGACGGUUUUGGUGUCACUUAUGGAUGGGUCCGCGCCGCAUUAGCUAGUUGGUAAGGUAACGGCUUACCAAGGCAAGGAUGCGUAGCCGGCCUGAGAGGGUGAUCGGCCACACUGGAACUGAGACACGGUCCAGACUCCUACGGGAGGCAGCAGUAGGGAAUGUUCCGCGAUGGGCGAAAGCCUGACGGAGCAACGCCGCGUGAGUGAUGAAGGUCUUCGGAUCGUAAAACUCUGUUAUUAGGGAAGAACAAAUGUGUAAGUAACUAUGCACGUCUUGACGGUACCUAAUCAGAGAGCCACGGCUAACUACGUU